UUUAUCGGAGAGUUUGAUCCUGGCUCAGGACGAACGCUGGCGGCGUGCCUAAUACAUGCAAGUCGAGCGGACAGAUGGGAGCUUGCUCCCUGAUCUUAGCGGCGGACGGGUGAGUAACACGUGGGUAACCUGCCUGUAAGACUGGGAUAACUCCGGGAAACCGGGGCUAAUACCGGAUGGUUGUUUGAACCGCAUGGUUCAAACAUAAAAGGUGGCUUCGGCUACCACUUACAGAUGGACCCGCGGCGCAUUAGCUAGUUGGUGAGGUAACGGCUCACCAAGGCGACGAUGCGUAGCCGACCUGAGAGGGUGAUCGGCCACACUGGGACUGAGACACGGCCCAGACUCCUACGGGAGGCAGCAGUAGGGAAUCUUCCGCAAUGGACGAAAGUCUGACGGAGCAACGCCGCGUGAGUGAUGAAGGUUUUCGGAUCGUAAAGCUCUGUUGUUAGGGAAGAACAA
rnacentral:rRNA from 1 species